UCACGCGCCACGCGUAUAAGUACCGGUCCUCGGGCCAGGGACGAACAGAGUCGAUUCUCGAGGACUUUAAGUCUACAACGAUUAUCACGCUGAAAACCCGUAGCCUGAACAAAGCUCACGACGACCGACCGACAACGGCAACCCGGACCCCGCGCCCGAAGCAGCGCCACGGGACCGGCCUGUACCUUUAGAUUUAAGUGUUAGUUGAAUAAAUUAUAUUUUACCAGA